CAGCCGCCGCGGUAAUACGAAGGGUGCAAGCGUUAAUCGGAAUUACUGGGCGUAAAGCGUGCGUAGGCGGUUUGUUAAGUCUGUUGUGAAAUCCCCGGGCUCAACCUGGGAAUGGCAAUGGAUACUGGCAAGCUAGAGUGUGUCAGAGGAUGGUGGAAUUCCCGGUGUAGCGGUGAAAUGCGUAGAGAUCGGGAGGAACGUCAGUGGCGAAGGCGGCCAUCUGGGACAACACUGACGCUGAGGCACGAAAGCGUGGGGAGCAAACAGGAUUAGAUACCCGAGUAGUCCCUGUCUCUUAUAC
rnacentral:rRNA from 1 species